GAUGAACGCUGGCGGCGUGCCUAAUACAUGCAAGUCGAGCGAACGGACGAGAAGCUUGCUUCUCUGAUGUUAGCGUCGGACGGGUGAGUAACACGUUGAUAACCUACCUAUAAGACUGGGAUAACUUCGGGAAACCGUAGCUAAUACCGGAUAAUAUUUUGAACCGCAUGUUUCAAAAGAGAAUGACGGUCUUGCUGUCACUUAUAGAUGGAUCCGCGCUGCAUUAGCUAGUUGGUAAGGUAACGGCUUACCAAGGCAACGAUGCAUAGCCGACCUGAGAGGGUGAUCGGCCACACGGGAACGGAGACGAGGUCCAGAAUCCUAAGGGAGGCAGCAGUAGGGAAUCUUCCGCCAUGGGCGAAAGCCUGACGGAGAAAAGCCGCGUGAGUGAGGAAGGUCUUCAGAUCGUAAAACUCUGUUAUUAGGGAAGAACAUAUGUGUAAGUAACUGUGCACAUCUUGACGGUACCUAAUCAGAAAGCCACGGCUAACUACGUG
rnacentral:rRNA from 1 species